CUGAAAAUCUAGCCUCACCUGACUUAUGAUCAACCCCCACCUUUUCAAGCAAAUCAAAAUAUUUUCAAAAUUUAGUAAAGAAGAUUGAAAAAUUUCACAGAGCAACAAUUAUGUACCGCAAGGGAAAGAUGAAAUACCAAUGAAACAAAAUCAAGCAUAAAAUAGUAGAGCCUAACCCUCGUACCUUUUGCAUCAUGGUUUAACAAGUUCACCCAAGCAAAAAGACUUUAAGUUUGCCCCCCCGAAACUAAGUGAGCUACCCUGAGACAGCCUCCGAGCCAACCCGUCCCUGUUUGCAAAAGGGUGGGAAGAUCUCACAGUAGCGGUGACAUACCUAACGAACUUAGUGAUAGCUGGUUGCUCAAGAAAAGAAUCUCAGUUCCACCUAAAGCAUAAACCACUAAUCAAAAAUAAAUUUUUUUAAACUUUAGAGCAACUCAAACAGGGUACAGCCUGUUUGAGCCAGGAUACAACCUCCACUGAUGGGUAACAAUUAGAGUCCCCCAGCCAAGUGGGCCUAAGAGCAGCCACCUUUCAAAAUGCGUCAAAACUUAACUACCUUGACAGAUUAUAUCCAAAAUUUCACCAAACCCUCUAUUAGUACUGAGCACUUCUAUAACCUAUAGAAGAUCUUAUGUUAAAACUAGUAACAAGAAGACACAACUCUUCUCUUUUAUACAAACAUAAAUCAGCCCGGAUAAUCCACUGGAAAUUAACAACCACCACUAAUGGCAACCUCGCAAGAAAAUCCCAUUAGCCCUACUGUUAACCUGACACUAGAGUAUAACAAGAAAGAUUAAAAGAAGGGGAAGGAACUCGGCAAAUAAUAAUCCCGCCUGUUUACCAAAAACAUCGCCUCUUGCUAAACUAUAAGAGGUCUAGCCUGCCCAGUGACCCACGUUCAACGGCCGCGGUAUCCUAACCACGCGAAGGUAGCGUAAUCAAUUGUCUCCUAAAUAGGGACUUGUAUGAAUGGCACCACGAGGAUUUAACUGUCUCCCCCCUCUAAUCUGUGAAACUAAUCUCCCUGUGAAAAAGCAGGACUACUCCCAUAAGACGAGAAGACCCUGUGGAACUUUAAACAACUAACAACUGCUCCCCAUUAACCCUCCAGAACACCCACUUCCACGAGCAUUCUGAUUACUAGUUUUCGGUUGGGGCGACCAUGGAGAAAAACCCACCCUCUAUGUUGUGAACCUUAAAUUCAAAACCACAAGCUACAGCUUUACGAAUCAGUAAACUGACAUCCAUUGACCCAAAUUUUUGAUCAACGAACCAAGCUACCCCAGGGAUAACAGCGCAAUCCGCCUCGAGAGCACAUAUCGACAGGUGGGCUUACGACCUCGAUGUUGGAUCAGGGUGCCCCAGUGGUGCAGCCGCUACUAAAGGUUCGUUUGUUCAACGAUUAAAACCCUACGUGAUCUGAGUUCAGACCGGAGUAAUCCAGGUCGGUUUCUAUCUAUAAAGGGCUCCAUCCAGUACGAAAGGACCGAAAGAGCAAGGCCAAUGAAAAACUCAAGCCUCACUAAACACUUAUGACUCACACUCA
rnacentral:rRNA from 1 species